rnacentral:rRNA from 1 species
UGGAUUAGUGGCGAACGGGUGAGUAACACGUGAGUAACCUGCCCUUAACUCUGGGAUAAGCCUGGGAAACUGGGUCUAAUACCGGAUAGGAGCGCCUACCGCAUGGUGGGUGUUGGAAAGAUUUAUCGGUUUUGGAUGGACUCGCGGCCUAUCAGCUUGUUGGUGAGGUAAUGGCUCACCAAGGCGACGACGGGUAGCCGGCCUGAGAGGGUGACCGGCCACACUGGGACUGAGACACGGCCCAGACUCCUACGGGAGGCAGCAGUGGGGAAUAUUGCACAAUGGGCGCAAGCCUGAUGCAGCGACGCCGCGUGAGGGAUGACGGCCUUCGGGUUGUAAACCUCUUUCAGUAGGGAAGAAGCGAAAGUGACGGUACCUGCAGAAGAAGCACCGGCUAACUACGUGCCAGCAGCCGCGGUAAUACGUAGGGUGCGAGCGUUAUCCGGAAUUAUUGGGCGUAAAGAGCUCGUAGGCGGUUUGUCGCGUCUGUCGUGAAAGUCCGGGGCUUAACCCCGGAUCUGCGGUGGGUACGGGCAGACUAG